UGAAAAGAACAAAGAUUUGUCCAUGUUUGUUCAUCAUAGCCGAAAGUUAGAGAAGAGAAAGGAGAGGAGAAAGCUCUUGAAUGUUCGGUCACUUGGGGAAGAAAAUUGAAGGUAAGUUCAUGGUAGUUUGCUUCUAUCUUGAUGUUCAUGAGUUCUUCUUGAUUCUACCUUAACUAUUGAAGCAUAUUUUGGUUUUUAGUUGUGUUGUGAACAUUUAGUCAUGAAUUAAAAUGAAGGAAAUGGUUGUUGUUUCAUGUUCUUUUGAUGAAAAAUGGAAGAUAGGUGAAGUUGAGCCAAACAAAUGAGCAUGCAUGUGCCUUAGAUGUUAAAGGGAAAAAUCGGCUAACAUGUUGUGCUUUAAAAUGAUGAAAUGAAGAUUAUACUUAAGUAAAAUCAUAGAUAUGUGAUGAUUGAUUGGUGAUAUACAUGUUUAAAUAACAUGCAUGCAAGUUAUGUGUGAAAGAGUGAUUUGGUAAUAAAUCUGCUUGGGAUAGCAGCAGUAACGUGACUUUGGAAAAUCACCUUAAAUUGUGAGAGAUGAGUUAGAAGGUGAAUAAAUUAUUUAAUUAAAGAUUAAUGAGUCUAGUUUCAAAUGAAAUAAACGAGAACAUAUUUUGAAUUCUGUACAAUGAGAAAUUUGAUUCGUAAUGAAGAGUGGUCAGAUUAGUCAAACAGUGAAACAUGUGAAACUUUGAGGAAAAUCUGGUAUUCAUUGGCCAAAUCAAAAAUUCUGAAAAUUUUAUGGAUAGAAGAUAUAUGAGUCUAUUUUCAGGUAAAAUUAACGGCACUUGAUUUGGAGUUUCGUAGCUUUAGUUAUAAAUGAUUUAGUGACUGUUGCUCAGGAAGACAGCUUGCAGUGAAAUUAUGAUUAUGUGGUAAACAUUGACAAAAAUUUGUUAAUGAGUUGCUUAUUGAUUUCUUAUAAGCUUACUCUGAUCUGUAGGUGUGGUUGGCCGAAUAUUGUAAGGGGUUAAUACGUAGUUUGUAUUUGAAUAGUUAGAUUAACGUGUUAGUAAUCCAAUUGUAGGCGGUUCGUGUGUGGAGCAUAUCGUCGCAAACAGGCGUGUAACUAACACCUUCUUAUAGACUAGAUCGGCACAAGCCGAAAAGCCAGUAUUUUGAGAUCUUGCGAGUGUGUGAAUGCUCAUGAGAUUAAUAGUUUGAUGUAUAUGGUAAAUUAAAGUGAUAAGACUGCAGAGUGCGCGAUUCUGUGCAUUUCGAUAUUUUUGGGCUUAAUGGGCCAAAAACGGGAUAAUGAGCCAACGGGCCCAAAUUGGUAAGAAAACGCGGUAAGUGUUUCUGAUCGUACGUAAAUGACUAUGUUAUGUAUGAAAACCUUAAGAAUAGUUAAAUUACUUGAAUACCCCUAUGUAUGCAAAAUUACCAUUAUACCCUUAAGGUUACUUUUGACUGAAAAGCAUGACGAUCUGAUUCUGUAUGAUGUAUGCCAUGAUUAUAUAUCUUUGCAUGGGGACUUGGGUUAUACUAUGGAGGAAGCGUCCUGGUGGCUAUGCCACAAUUAUCUAAUCUGGUGGCUCUGCCACAUAUAUCUGUCCUGGUGGCUAUGCUACAAUUAUCUGAUCUGGUGGCUCUGCCACAUAUAUCUGUUAUGGUGGCUCUGCCACAAUAUCUGUAUCUGGUGACUUCGUCACAAUAUUUGGCAGCCUCGCUGCGAUUUCUGUGGUGUGUAGUGGUUGAGUGGGUCGAAAAGUCUCCCCACAUGGUGUAAGGCUGGUACGGGGGUGUUAUGGAUGAAUCUGGGUUGGGUUUCUGCAUAAACAUGUAAUAUCUGUUCUGUUCUGUUAUGGGCCUAUGGGCUUUAUUCUGAAUUUCUGUUCUGGGCUAAGGCAAACUCAUUCUGUUUCUGUGGGUUGAGCUGAUUUAGACUAUGGUUGGGUUAUUUUACACAUUGAGUUUUCCCAAACUCACCCCUUAUUUUUCAUCCACGUAGGUAAACCCAAACCAUAGUGGGCUUGGAGCUGUGAGGGAAUUCGAAGUGGCCACACGUUCUGCAAAUUCCUGUUUUCCUCCGGUGAAUUGGACAUCUUUUCUUUUAUUUUUAUGAUUUGGGCUUUAAAUUGUAAUAAGACCGCUUAAUUAUUUUUGAUGGUUUUAAUAUGUAUUACUAAGAUAGGUAUUACUUA
rnacentral:lncRNA from 1 species